GGCUGUAGCUCAGUGGCAGAGUGCUUGCCUUGCACACAUGUGAGGCACUGGGUUCGAUCCUCAGCAUCA
rnacentral:tRNA from 1 species